AUUGAACGCUGGCGGCAUGCUUUACACAUGCAAGUCGAACGGUAACAGGCCUUCGGGUGCUGACGAGUGGCGAACGGGUGAGUAAUGCAUCGGAACGUGCCCAGAGGUGGGGGAUAACGCAGCGAGAGCUGUGCUAAUACCGCAUGUGAUCUGAGGAUGAAAGCGGGGGACCAGGCAGCAAUGUUUGGCCUCGCGCCUUUGGAGCGGCCGAUGUCAGAUUAGGUAGUUGGUGGGGUAAAGGCCUACCAAGCCGACGAUCUGUAGCUGGUCUGAGAGGACGACCAGCCACACUGGGACUGAGACACGGCCCAGACUCCUACGGGAGGCAGCAGUGGGGAAUUUUGGACAAUGGGCGCAAGCCUGAUCCAGCAAUGCCGCGUGCGGGAAGAAGGCCUUCGGGUUGUAAACCGCUUUUGUACGGAACGAAAAGGCUCUGGCUAAUACCUGGGGCUGAUGACGGUACCGUAAGAAUAAGCACCGGCUAACUACGUG
rnacentral:rRNA from 1 species